CCGUUUAGGGGUAAACUGAGAAACCGAAAGGUCGAAGGAAGAAAUUCAUUCGCGUUUCGAUACAGGCACUAGAAAGUUAUAUGACGAUGUACAUAUUUAUAUGUACGACGCAUUUUCUUUUUAUACGAUCCAGUAACGAACGUGUGCACUUUUCUUCUGGUAGGACGUCGCAAUCUGUUGAGUGUCGAUCGACGGUCUGCAGUGGAGCCCAUUUGUUCAUAUUUGCGUAUGGCACAAGUGGACCUGUGGUACCUGGUCGACGAGAAAAUUAAACUCGACGGUAUUCAAAUGGUUUGGGGCCGCUUUUACUAGCGUUCAACUCGUAGCAAGCGCGCUAGAUAUGUUGAAGUUCGGACCUAGUGCCGGGCCCAACUUCUAAGUGGCUGUUAGUUGCGAUGUUCUUGAACAGACCUCACUAAAGACCAAUUGGCGACGCUAUAGCUUGGGUACUUUCAGGACCCGUCUUGAAACACGGACCAAGGAGUCUAGCAUGUACGCAAGUCAUUGGGAAUUAUUAAACCUAAAGGCGUAAUGAAAGUAAAGGUCUUUCUUGUAGAGAUCGAGGGAAGACAAAUGGUUUAGUUUUUAUAGGCUACCGUUUUGCAUUCCCGGGGCGUCUCAUACUCAUGCGAGUAGAGGCGCACUAAGAGCGUACACGCUGGGACCCGAAAGAUGGUGAACUAUGCCUGGUCAGGAUGAAGUCAGGGGAAACCCUGAUGGAGGUCCGUAGCGAUUCUGACGUGCAAAUCGAUCGUCGGAACUGGGUAUAGCGGCGUAAGACCAAUCGAACUGUCUAGUAGCUGGUU
rnacentral:rRNA from 1 species